UUAAAUUGAAGAGUUUGAUCAUGGCUCAGAUUGAACGCUGGCGGCAGGCCUAACACAUGCAAGUCGAACGGUAACAGGAAGAAGCUUGCUUCUUCGCUGACGAGUGGCGGACGGGUGAGUAAUGUCUGGGAAACUGCCUGAUGGAGGGGGAUAACUACUGGAAACGGUAGCUAAUACCGCAUAACGUCGCAAGACCAAAGAGGGGGACCUUCGGGCCUC
rnacentral:rRNA from 1 species